rnacentral:rRNA from 1 species
AGGAUGAACGCUGGCGGCGUGCCUAACACAUGCAAGUCGAACGUCCUGUCUCGCAAGAGGCAGGGAGUGGCGGACGGGUGAGUACCACGUGGGUCAUCUACCGUGAGGUGAGGAAUACCGGCGAGAAAUCGCCGACAAGACCGCAUAGGCUCGAUGCAAGUCGAGCAAAGCUCUUUCGAGAGAGGGAGCGCCACACGAGGAGCCUGCGCCCGAUUAGCUAGCUGGUGGAGUAACGGUUCACCAGGGCGACGAUCGGUAGCUGGUCUGAGAGGACGAUCAGCCACACUGGGAUUGAGAACGGCCCAGACUCCUACGGGGGCAGCAGUGAGGAAUUUCGUCAAUGGGGGCAACCCUGAACGAGCAACGCCGCGUGCAGGAAGAAGGUUUCGGAUCGUAAACUGCUUUUCUCGGGAAGAGAACGGACGGUACCCGAGGAAUCAGCCCGGCUAACUACGCGCCAGCAGCCGCGGU